rnacentral:rRNA from 1 species
AACGAACGCUGGCGGCAUGCCUAACACAUGCAAGUCGAACGAGACCUUCGGGUCUAGUGGCGCACGGGUGCGUAACGCGGGGGAACCUGCCCUUAGGUUCGGAAUAACUCCCCGAAAGGGGUGCUAAUACCGGAUAAUGUCUUCGGACCAAGGAUUUAUCGCCUUUGGAUGGGGCCGCGUUGGAUUAGCUAGUUGGUAGGGUAAAAGCCUACCAAGGCGACGAUCCAUAGCUGGUCUGAGAGGAUGAUCAGCCACACUGGGACUGAGACACGGCCCAGACUGGUACGGGAGGCAGCAGUGGGGAAUAUUGGACGAUGGGCGAAAGCCUGAUACAGCAAUGCCGCGUGAGUGAUGAAGGGCUUAGGGUUGUAAAGCUGUUUUACCCGGGAUGAUAAUGACAGUACCGGGAGAAUAAGCUCCGGCUAACUCCGUG